UACGAAGGGUGCAAGCGUUAUCCGGAUUUAUUGGGCGUAAAGCGUCCGCAGGUGGUUUGUUAAGUCAGAUGUUAAAGACCGAAGCUCAACUUCGGCAAAAUGUCUGAAACUGGCUCACUAGAGGCUUUCAGAGGCAUAUAGAAUUCUGUGUGUAGGGGUAAAAUCCGUUGAUACACAGAGGAACACCAAAAGCGAAGGCAGUAUGCUGGGAAAGUCCUGACACUCAUGGACGAAAGCGUGGGGAGCGAAC
rnacentral:rRNA from 1 species